rnacentral:rRNA from 1 species
GAUGAACGCUGGCGGCGCGCCUAACACAUGCAAGUCGAACGGCACCCCUCCUCGGAGGGAAGCGAGUGGCGAACGGCUGAGUAACACGUGGAGAACCUGCCCCCUCCCCCGGGAUAGCCGCCCGAAAGGACGGGUAAUACCGGAUACCCCGGGGUGCCGCAUGGCACCCCGGCUAAAGCCCCGACGGGAGGGGAUGGCGCCGCGGCCCAUCAGGUAGACGGCGGGGUGACGGCCCACCGUGCCGACAACGGGUAGCCGGGUUGAGAGACCGACCGGCCAGAUUGGGACUGAGACACGGCCCAGACUCCUACGGGAGGCAGCAGUGGGGAAUCUUGCGCAAUGGGGGGAACCCUGACGCAGCGACGCCGCGUGCGGGACGGAGGCCUUCGGGUCGUAAACCGCUUUCAGCAGGGAAGAGUCAAGACUGUACCUGCAGAAGAAGCCCCGGCUAACUACGUG